AGUAAAACCAUGAACACUGGUGGAGGCAGGAAUGUUCAGCAAAGUAAAUUUUAUUAAGCACGUGGUACGUAACAUAAAAAAAAGUAUACUAUACGACCGAAAAGUACGUAGACAAAGGAGUAAAGUGAGCUUUUAAUCGACACCCGCUGUAAAGCCUCUACACCUUCGCAGACAAUGUUGAGACAAAGGAGUAAAGUGAGCUUUUAAGCGACACUCGCUGUAAAGUCUCUACACCUUCGCAGACAAUGUUGAGAUAAAUUAACAAAAUGAGAAGCUUCUUAGCGACAUUUAAGCCAAAUGGACAAACGGGACUCACAUUUCAUAUCAAACGUACAAAAUAGUCUCUACUGGCGUUCGUUUGAUUGAUACCUCCAAAGUCGAGGAACUGUUUUAAAUAACUUCACCGAAUUUCAUUGGUUUAUACUGAAAGGUCCUGUUGGCUCUUCGGCGCAUGUAAAAAGUACUAAUCAAAUGUAGUGAUGGCCUUGGUGCUAUGUGAAUGUGGGCGGAGCUAGAUAGAUAGAAAUUUAUUUUGUAUAUUUUUCCGCAACUUUCUUUAAACUACAUAUCUAAAUUGCAAACGUGAUCUCGUUAAUCAUUGAAUGAUGGCGUGCGGAGGGAAAUGGAAAGAAGGAAAAUGUUUUUCGUUAUAAAUAUUUUUUUAUACAUUUUUCAUAUCUCUUGGUUUUAAAAUU